UACGUAGGGGGCAAGCGUUAUCCGGAUUUAUUGGGCGUAAAGCGCGCGUAGGUGGGCUGUUAAGCGAGAUGUGAAAACCGGGGGCUCAACCCGCGGCCUGCAUCUCGAACUGGCAGCCUUGAGUCUGGUAGAGGGAAGUGGAAUUCCGAGUGUAGCGGUGAAAUGCGCAGAUAUUCGGAAGAACACCAGUGGCGAAGGCGGCUUCCUGGGCCACGACUGACACUGAGGCGCGAAAGCUAGGGGAGCGAACAGG
rnacentral:rRNA from 1 species